CGAGCACUCCUCUUCCCCUCCACAUCCUGAAGACUGUGAUGAUGCCAGAACACCUGAUGUCGACUGUGGGCUAUGUUGGAUGUCGCUUUUCAGUCUGUGUCCUGUGUCUGCUCUCCUCUCCUCCCUCCUCUCCUCCACUUGCGUCUACUCCUUCUACAAACAACAGCUCCAGCUGAGACUCCACCAGGGGAAGUGACAGCAGAGAGCAGACUACAGUCAAAAUGGGUGUUGUAGUUUUAUUAUGGGUAGCCAUCUUGAUUUGUAGUCCAUGUAUUAGUCUUGGCCUAUUUCUCUGUCUGUCUGUCUCUCUCUCU